rnacentral:rRNA from 1 species
GAUUAACGCUGGCGGCGUGCAUAACACAUGCAAGUCGAACGAUGAAACUUAAAUGAUUUCUUCGGAAUGAACUUAAGUGGCUUAGUGGCGGACGGGUGAGUAACGCGUGAGUAACCUGCCUUACACAAGGGGAUAGCCGUUGGAAACGACGAAUAAUACCCUAUGAAACUAUCACUUCGCAUGAAGCGAUAGUCAAAGUGUUAGCGGUGUAAGAUGGACUUGCGUCUGAUUAGCUAGUUGGUGAGAAAAAAGCCCACCAAGGCAACGAUCAGUAGCCGGCUUGAGAGAGUGUACGGCCACAUUGGGACUGAGACACGGCCCAGACUCCUACGGGAGGCAGCAGUGGGGAAUUUUGCACAAUGGGGGAAACCCUGAUGCAGCGACGCCGCGUGAUUUAGAAGGCCUUCGGGUUGUAAAAAUCUUUUGUAUAGGAAGAAAAUGACAGUACUAUACGAAUAAGGUCCGGCUAAUUACGUG